rnacentral:rRNA from 1 species
UACGAAGGGGGGCUAGCGUUGCUCGGAAUUACUGGGCGUAAAGCGCACGUAGGCGGCUUCUUAAGUCGGUGGUGAAAUCCUGGAGCUCAACUCCAGAACUGCCUUUCGAUACUGGGAGCUAGAGUCCGGAAGAGGCGAGUGGAAUUCCUGGUGUAGCGGUGAAAUGCGCAGAUAUCAGGAGGAACACCAAUGGCGAAGGCAGCUCGCUGGGGACGGUACUGACGCUGAGACGCGAAAGCGUGGGGGAGCAAACAGG